rnacentral:sRNA from 1 species
AGUCUUGUACGCCUGCUCGAUGAUGUCCU